GAUGAACGCUGGCGGCGUGCCUAAUACAUGCAAGUCGAGCGAACGGACGAGAAGCUUGCUUCUCUGAUGUUAGCGGCGGACGGGUGAGUAACACGUGGAUAACCUACCUAUAAGACUGGGAUAACUUCGGGAAACCGGAGCUAAUACCGGAUAAUAUUAUGAACCGCAUGGUUCAAAAGUGAAAGACGGUCUUGCUGUCACUUAUAGAUGGAUCCGCGCUGCAUUAGCUAGUUGGUAAGGUAACGGCUUACCAAGGCAACGAUGCAUAGCCGACCUGAGAGGGUGAUCGGCAACACUGGAACUGAGACACGGUCCAGACUCCUACGGGAGGCAGCAGUAGGGAAUCUUCCGCAAUGGGCGAAAGCCUGACGGAGCAACGCCGCGUGAGUGAUGAAGGUCUUCGGAUCGUAAAACUCUGUUAUUAGGGAAGAACAUAUGUGUAAGUAACUGUGCACAUCUUGACGGUACCUAAUCAGAAAGCCACGGCUAACUACGUG
rnacentral:rRNA from 1 species